rnacentral:rRNA from 1 species
UCCUCGCAAAUUAUCCUCAUAAGUUAAACGAUAAGAGGAAUCUACUAGAUCUAAUUAAAGUUUAAUUCUAAGUUAUAAUCCGCACUAGCGGUCCCAAUAUCGCAAAUCAAGAAUGAGAGUUCGAUGUGAUUGAAGGGUAAUCAUAAUAAUAAAGGUAAACUAAAAUUGAUAAAGUAUGGUUAAGAAAAUCGGAGGCCACGACUGUUUACUAAAAACAUAGGAAAAAGCAAACACGAAAGUGAUCGUAUUUUUUCUGACAUUUGCCCAAUGCCAUUAAUAUAAGGUAAGUCAUUGAAAAAUGUGACUUAUUGAAAAUCUGGUUAAUAGCGGUCUUAACCAUGAGGAUCCUAAGGUAGCAAAAUCAUUUGGCCAUUAAAUGUGGUCCGGUAUCAAUAAUCUCACGAUGGCCUCACUGUCUCUACAACUUGCUCAGUGAAAUUGAAUUACCCGUGAAGAUGCGGGUUAUCUUCAGAGGGACGGGAAGACCCUAUGCAGCUU